rnacentral:rRNA from 1 species
UACGGGGGGGGGCAAGCGUUGUUCGGAAUUACUGGGCGUAAAGGGCUCGUAGGUGGCCAACUAAGUCAGGCGUGAAAUCCCCAGGCUCAACCUGGGAACUGCGUCUGAUACUGGAUGGCUUGAAUCCGGGAGAGGGAUGCAGAAUUCCAGGUGUAGCGGUGAAAUGCGUAGAUAUCUGGAGGAAUACCGGUGGCGAAGGCGGCAUCCUGGACCGGCAUUGACGCUGAGGAGCGAAAGCUAGGGGAGCAAACGGG